rnacentral:rRNA from 1 species
UACGUAGGGCGCAAGCGUUUGUCCGGAAUUACUGGGCGUAAAGAGCUCGUAGGUGGUUUGUCGCGUUGUUCGUGAAAACUCACAGCUCAACUGUGGGCGUGCGGGCGAUACGGGCAGACUGGAGUACUGCAGGGGAGACUGGAAUUCCUGGUGUAGCGGUGGAAUGCGCAGAUAUCAGGAAGAACACCCGUGGCGAAGGCGGCUCUCUGGUACGUGACUGACGCUGAGACGCGAAAGCGUGGGGAGCAAACAGG